CUCGUAUCCCGACAGCUUUCUCUUCUAUCCUUGCCCUGCUCUCCCUUCUUCGAUCGGUGUCUUCUUCGCCGGAUCUUGGUUGAGGCCUCUCCACAAUCGGAGCCAUAUUAUUGGUUGAUAGAGAGACGAAGCAUGAGAAAGUACCAUUGAGGUCUCAGUCCAACUCGAG